UUUAAAUACAGUUAUAGAUUUUUUAUCUAACAUUUGACCGUCCGUCUUAUUUAAAACUUUUUAUGUUAUCCGAUGAUAAAGUAUGAAUAAAGCUUUAUACGUGACUUGUUUCUUAAAUUUGUUUUAUAUUUUUUUUAAAUAAGACGAACAGUUAAACAUUGAAUAAAAAACCCACUAAGUGUGUUUAAA
rfam:Oryza nivara chromosome 2, whole genome shotgun sequence.